UCGAGGAUCUUUUGCAAUGCCCGAAAGGGUGACAAUGCGACGCCGCGUGUGCGAUGAAGGUUUUCGGAUUGUAAAGCACUGUCGACCGGGAUGAAUCUCUGGAGGCGUAACAUGCUUUCAGGGUGACAGUACCGGUAGAGGAAGCCACGGCUAACUCCGUGCCAGCAGCCGCGGUAAUACGGAGGUGGCAAGCGUUACUCGGAUUGAUUGGGUGUAAAGGGUGUGUAGGUGGUGAAUUAAGUCGAAUGUGAAAUCCCUUGGCUUAACCAAGGAACUGCAUUCGAAACUGAUUUGCUUGAGCAAUGGAGAGGUAAGUGGAAUUCCCGGUGUAACAGUGAAAUGUGUAGAUAUCGGGAGGAACACCAGUGGCGAAGGCGACUUACUGGACAUUUGCUGACACUGAAACACGAGAGCAUGGGGAGCAAACAGG
rnacentral:rRNA from 1 species